rnacentral:rRNA from 1 species
AUCUGGGCGGCGGAAUUCAGGAUGGCCGGCGCGCUUUCGCAGUGUGUCGGUCGUUUGAUAUUUCCGUCGCCGAUUACCGCAGACGUCGCGACCUGUUCGCGGUCGGUCCCUGCUCGGAGGAGCCGUGUUCGAGUUCGUUGUGUACGUGUUUCGGCGCGUCACACGGCGAAGACGCGGAUCUCUGGCUGGCCGUCGGACAGUAUGCCUAACGGUGUCCGGUGUCGUCGUCUCGUACGCGCGGCACCGGUACCGGUCAGCGACGAAUUCUUCGGGCCUCUUUCCGACCCGUCUUGAAACACGGACCAAGGAGUCUAACAUGCGCGCGAGUCGCGGGGUGUCGAGCGUACUUCGGUGCGUUCGUUACGUUUGCGAAACCCGUACAUGUUGAAGGCGUAAUGAAAGUGAAUGGGGAAGAUGGUGUUUUCCGAGUACACGUUCCGCGAUCGUCGGUAUCGCGGCCGGACACCCGCAUUCCCGGGGCGUCUCAACGGCCCGUCGCUGAUGCGGACAGUCGUCUCUCGGGGCGGCUGUCGGUCGGCGAUGAACCGA